CUCUGAGUUGCUUAGUGCCUCAUGGUUGCUGAGGCUGGCUUUGAACUCAUGAUCCUCCUGUCUCAGCCUUCCCAGCAGAUGGGAUUACAGGUGUGCACCAUUGUGCCCAGCUACAGGAUGAAUUUUAACCACAAAACAAGACCUUUAUGUGAACAUCACAUGUGUUUUUUUCUAAAAUGAAGCAAUGUUUUUAUUUGUGCUGGGGAUUGAAUUCAGGGUCUAGCACAUGCUAGGUAAGCAUUCUAACACUGAGCUAUACACCAACUUUUUAAAUUCUUUAUUUUGACACAGGGUCUCCCUAAGUUGCCCAGGCUGGCCUUGAACUUGUAGCCUCCUGCCUCAGCUUCCCAGUAGCUGGGAUUACAGGCAUGUACAACUACACCUGGCUAAAAGCAAAUUUUUUGAAUUUAACAUAAUUUCAUUACUGGGAAAUUUUUGAUCAAUAGAAUAAACUUCACAAAGUGUUUAAUGAUUUUAU
rnacentral:lncRNA from 1 species